GAAAUGCACUUCAUCUAGUAAUAUAGAUGACUGUAUAGAGUCAAACAGACCUUUGUAACGCAAAAGGCUGUGGAGAAAACGGAUACCCACUAAGUCGAGGGCCGAUUUGCUACAGUUGUCCAGUGCACACAGAUUUAAAACCCUGUCACGCCAUACAGUUUUGCGGAGUGGGAGAAGUAUGCUUGUCCGAAGCACAUGUGGAAUUUGGAGACGUUGUUUAUUCAAGCUCAUGCACAAAUACACACGUUUGCAAAUCAGACGUCUUUGGUGGGCCAAACAUCGUUGGUCGCGACUUAGAUGCUGUUUUCGAAGAUAUAGCUAAACGUACAGAAUUCCGCCACGUUUGUCGACACUGCUGUCAGGAAGACACAUGCAACAGACAAUGCAACAGUUCAAACACAGAGACAUCAACCAGCCUCUGUCAACGACUGAGCCCUUGUCAACAUGGUAAAUGUUAUGACAUUCCGGGAGAUUAUAUUUGUGUAUGUAACAACGGAUAUGACGGACAGCAGUGUAACAUAUCAACCAGCCUCUGUCAAAGGUUGAACCCAUGUCAAAAUGGUAAAUGUUACGACAUUUCUGGAGAUUAUGUUUGUGUAUGUAACGACGGAUUUGAUGGGAAGCAGUGCAACAUAU